UAUCCGGAAUUAUUGGGCGUAAAGAGCUCGUAGGCGGUUUGUCGCGUCUGCUGUGAAAUCCCGAGGCUCAACCUCGGGCCUGCAGUGGGUACGGGCAGACUAGAGUGCGGUAGGGGAGAUUGGAAUUCCUGGUGUAGCGGUGGAAUGCGCAGAUAUCAGGAGGAACACCGAUGGCGAAGGCAGAUCUCUGGGCCGUAACUGACGCUGAGGAGCGAAAGGGUGGGGAGCAAACAGGCUUAGAUACCCUGGUAGUCCACCCCGUAAACGUUGGGAACUAGUUGUGGGGUCCAUUCCACGGAUUCCGUGACGCAGCUAACGCAUUAAGUUCCCCGCCUGGGGAGUACGGCCGCAAGGCUAAAACUCAAAGGAAUUGACG
rnacentral:rRNA from 1 species